rnacentral:rRNA from 1 species
CCUACGGGCGGCAGCAGUGAGGCAUAUUGGUCAAUGGGCGCGAGCCUGAACCAGCCAAGUAGCGUGAAGGAUGACUGCCCUACGGGUUGUAAACUUCUUUUAUAAAGGAAUAAAGUGAGGCACGUGUGCCUGUUUGUAUGUACUUUAUGAAUAAGGAUCGGCUAACUCCGUGGCAGCAGCCGCGGUAAUACGGAGGAUCCGAGCGUUUACCGGAUGUAUUGGGUUUAAAGGGCGCUUAGAUGGGAUGUUAAGUCAGUUGUGAAAGUUUGCGGCUCAACCGUAAAAUUUCAAUUGAUACUGGCAGUCUUGAGUACAGUUGAGGUAGGCGGAAUGCGUGGUGUAGCGGUGAAAUGCUUAGAUAGCACGAAGAACUCCGAUUGCGAAGGCAGCUUACUAAACUGCCACUGACAUUGAUGCUCGAAAGUGUGGGUAUCAAACAGGAUUAGAUACCCCAGUAGUC